rnacentral:rRNA from 1 species
UGGGGAAUAUUGCACAAUGGGCGCAAGCCUGAUGCAGCCAUGCCGCGUGUAUGAAGAAGGCCUUCGGGUUGUAAAGUACUUUCAGCGGGGAGGAAGGGAGUAAAGUUAAUACCUUUGCUCAUUGACGUUACCCGCAGAAGAAGCACCGGCUAACUCCGUGCCAGCAGCCGCGGUAAUACGGAGGGUGCAAGCGUUAAUCGGAAUUACUGGGCGUAAAGCGCACGCAGGCGGUUUGUUAAGUCAGAUGUGAAAUCCCCGGGCUCAACCUGGGAACUGCAUUCGAAACUGGCAGGCUAGAGUCUUGUAGAGGGGGGUAGAAUUCCAGGUGUAGCGGUGAAAUGCGUAGAGAUCUGGAGGAAUACCGGUGGCGAAGGCUGCCCCCUGGACAAAGACUGACGCUCAGGUGCGAAAGCGUGGGGAGCAAACAGG